UGGUAAUGCCGGAUGCUCCGACUCCUCGCAUGGGGUGUCGGGAAAGAUUCAUCGGUAUGGGAUGGGGUCGCGUCCUAUCAGGUAGUCGGCGGGGUAACGGCCCACCGAGCCUACGACGGGUAGCCGGCCUGAGAGGGCGACCGGCCACAUUGGGACUGAGAUACGGCCCAGACUCCUACGGGAGGCAGCAGUGGGGAAUAUUGCACAAUGGGCGCAAGCCUGAUGCAGCGACGCCGCGUGCGGGAUGACGGCCUUCGGGUUGUAAACCGCUUUUGAUCGGGAGCAAGCCUUCGGGUGAGUGUACCUUUCGAAUAAGCACCGGCUAACUACGUGCCAGCAGCCGCGGUAAUACGUAGGGUGCAAGCGUUAUCCGGAAUUAUUGGGCGUAAAGGGCUCGUAGGCGGUUCGUCGCGUCCGGUGUGAAAGUCCAUCGCUUAACGGUGGAUCUGCGCCGGGUACGGGCGGGCUGGAGUGCGGUAGGGGAGACUGGAAUUCCCGGUGUAACGGUGGAAUGUGUAGAUAUCGGAAAAAAACACC
rnacentral:rRNA from 1 species